UCAUUCCGAAAUUAUUCUCACAUAUUAUUGAUAAUCCUAAAAUACCCAUUUGUUGAUAACCCUAAAAAGAAGAAUGAUCAAAACAUAACAACAGAGAGAGAGGCGCCUCCUUCUCCUUGUUCUUGGUCUGCUACCUUCUUCAGUUCUUCUUCAUCUUUUGUGUGCUAAGGAUGUACUGGAUUAAGUAACCUUGCGAGAACUAGAUUUUGGGUUCGCAUUUUCUUCCUCAGUAUCGUCUAUCCAACUCGAUCACCAAUCUUCGUUUGAAUGAGCCAUGAACCGACUUAGAGGCUUAGUGAAGCUUUUUCUUUCAUUAUGUGCCUCAAUUAAGGAAUAAUAUGAGGCAGAAGGCUCUGAGAUCAUGGACUGUUAUUCAGGAUACUUUUAUAAGGUGGUUGAGAGUCAUACGCCACUUGCAUGAUACAAGAGUUGAUCAGAGGCCUAUGGUUUACAACUAUACUAUUAAAGGAUGAAAAUCAGGUACAAGAAUUAUUAGCAUCAAUGACAGAGUGAUUGCAUCAAUUAGAGUAAUUGGUGGAUCUGUAGCGAUUAGAGUUAAUGGUGGAUCAUAAUGUUAUUAGAUGAUUACAAGUUAAAGCUUUCUUAAUAUAUGUAACUCUUGAUGUAUCAAUGAUCAUUACAUUUGAAACACUCUUGUUGGACUUAUUUCAAUUUAUGGCAAUGAUGUGAAUUUAGUAACAUUGUUGAUUGAUCAUUUGGAUU